AUUGAAUUGGAAUCUUAUACUUGUAGCCAAUUUUAUCCUAUCAAUCUGCAGUUGAUCUAGUUAAAGGAAACAAAUUUGAACUAGGUUUGGUGGGGUGUGCCCGGCUAUUGCAAUAGUGCAACGCAAAAGCGACACUUAUGACUAAGGAAUCGGUUAUGAAAAAAUUGAAUUGGAAUCUUAUACUUGUAGCCAAUUUUAUCCUAUCAAUCUGCAGUUGAUCUAGUUAAAGGAAACAAAUUUGAACUAGGUUUGGUGGGGUGUGCCCGGCUAUUGCAAUAGUGCAACGCAAAAGCGACACUUGAGAGACCCAAUAGCAAGCUAUUGAAGUGGACUCUCCCCCUCAAGAAAUAAAUUUAAUAUCGUGUGAACCAUUGGCUCACAUAUCAGAUAUUAAACUGAUAAGAACAGAUACUACACUUGAUCUUAGCCAAAAGGCCGAGAAAGGUAUGAGUUGAAAUACAUGCUUGUUGUGUUUUUUAUAAUUGACAUCUGUUAUGUUUCUUACUUCACUAACCGAGGUGGGACUCUUAUGCAGCAAAUUAGAACAUUAGGUUUCGUAACUGCAAACUUGCUAUUAUAUCAUAAUACAAGUUGAAGAUCUCUACACUCUCAUUUCCUUCCUCUUGAUUCCAAAUAUUUUCACUUAGUGAGUAAACAUCAGGACCUUACUCACAUUUGACAGCAAAAUCUACUUUGCAAAUUAGCUUGUUUGCCUAUAAUAUUUUCUAUACUAGUGCUCCUAAUUGGUAGUUUGGUUGAAGUGAACACCAUUUUUAUGCCCACGUGUUUAUCAUUUAUUUAAGCAAAAUCAUUUCUAACAAUCACUGCCUUAGCCAAUUGUAGAAUAUGGAAGAACGACGUAUACACCAUAUUUUGUGACUGAAUCAAAAUGUUUGACAUACGAUAAAAUCUUCAGAUGCAAAUUGACAAUGCGGCGGGAAUAUGAUUUGAGGGAAGGCUUACUAUUAUACAAGAGGCAAUGUAUUUCUCACCCUCUACCCGCCUUUUGAAAGUGUUUACCAAUUUGGGUAAGAAUAAUAGACAAAAGGCUUCAAACUGGGAUGGAUUGUUGAUGGUGUAGAGUGGAGUCGGAGACAGCAGAGCACGUGCUGCUGUUGCUGUGUAAUAAGAGCAAUCAAACUUGUCAAAGUCUGGACACGUGGAGACACAGAGCAUGCACUGCUGCUAAAUAGGAACAUUAAUUUCUAUCAUAAUUACAUCAAUUACUCAUUCUCAUCAUUGACAACUAGUACUGCAUAUAUCAAUGGAAAACAAUAUUUACCUUA